rnacentral:tRNA from 1 species
GGGGAUUUAGCUCAGUGGUAGAGCACUUGUCUAAGCGCAAGGCCCUGGUUUCAGUCCCCA